rnacentral:rRNA from 1 species
GUGGGGUAGUGGCCUACCAAGGCGACGACGGGUAGCCGGCCUGAGAGGGUGACCGGCCACACUGGGACUGAGACACGGCCCAGACUCCUACGGGAGGCAGCAGUGGGGAAUAUUGCGCAAUGGGCGAAAGCCUGACGCAGCGACGCCGCGUGGGGGAUGACGGCCUUCGGGUUGUAAACCUCUUUCAGCAGGGACGAAGCGCAAGUGACGGUACCUGCAGAAGAAGCACCGGCCAACUACGUGCCAGCAGCCGCGGUAAUACGUAGGGUGCAAGCGUUGUCCGGAAUUAUUGGGCGUAAAGAGCUCGUAGGCGGUUUGUUGCGUCGGCUGUGAAAUCCCGAGGCUCAACCUCGGGUCUGCAGUCGAUACGAGCAAACUAGAGUGUUGCAGGGGAGACUGGAAUUCCUGGUGUAGCGGUGAAAUGCGCAGAUAUCAGGAGGAACACCGGUGGCGAAGGCGGGUCUCUGGGCAACAACUGACGCUGAGGAGCGAAAGCGUGGGGAGCGAACAGGAUUAGAUACCCUGGUAGUCCACGCCGUAAACGUUGGGCGCUAGGUGUGGGGCUCAUUCCACGAGUUCCGUGCCGCAGCUAACGCAUUAAGCG